rnacentral:rRNA from 1 species
UACAGAGGGGGCAAGCGUUAUUCGGAAUUAUUGGGCGUAAAGGGCUCGUAGGCGGCCUGGCAAGUGGAAGGUGAAAUCCCUCGGCUUAACCGAGGAACUGCCUUCCAAACUGCUUGGCUUGAGUCCGGGAGAGGUGAGUGGAAUUCCCAGUGUAGCGGUGAAAUGCGUAGAUAUUCGGAGGAACACCAGUGGCGAAGGCGGCUCACUGAUCCGGUACUGACGCUGAGGUGCGAAAGCGUGGGGAGCAAACAGG